rnacentral:rRNA from 1 species
UACGUAGGGGGCUAGCGUUGUUCGGAAUUACUGGGUGUAAAGGGCUCGUAGGCGGCCAACUAAGUCAGACGUGAAAUCCCUCGGCUUAACCGGGGAACUGCGUCUGAUACUGGAUGGCUUGAAUCCGGGAGAGGGAUGCGGAAUUCCAGGUGUAGCGGUGAAAUGCGUAGAUAUCUGGAGGAACACCGGUGGCGAAGGCGGCAUCCUGGACCGGCAUUGACGCUGAGGAGCGAAAGCCAGGGGAGCAAACGGG